rnacentral:rRNA from 1 species
CGCAUCUGUGCAUGCAGCAUAUCAAUAAGCGGAGGAAAAGAAACUAACAAGGAUUCCCCUAGUAACGGCGAGUGAAGCGGGAAGAGCUCAAAUUUGAAAUCUUAAAGGGUUUCCCUUUACGAAUUGUAGUUUAAAGAAGUGUUUUCUGUUGAGGUUUUGGUAAAAGUUCUUUGGAAUAGGACAUCAUAGAGGGUGAGAAUCCCGUAUUUGACCUUUACUUUCAACUUUAGUGAUACACUUUCAAAGAGUCGGAUUGUUUGGGAAUGCAGUCCAAAAUGGGUGGUAAAUUUCAUCUAAAGCUAAAUAUUGGCGAGAGACCGAUAGCGAACAAGUACCGUGAGGGAAAGAUGAAAAGAACUUUGAAAAGAGAGUUAAACAGUACGUGAAAUUGUCAAAAGGGAAGCGUUUGACACCAGUGUUGUUUUUCUGAAAAUCAAUUAAAGAACUGUUUAUGCUAAGUUGUUUAGACUUUAUCAGCUAACUGUUUAGUUUUGAGCUUUUCUUUAAUGCACUUUUCAGUUAACAAGUCAACAUCAAUUUCUUUUGCUGUAAAAAAGCUUGAGGAAGGUGGCUUGAGAUUCGUCUUAAGUGUUUAUAGCCUCUUGCCUAUGCAGUCGGAGAGAUUGAGGUCUGCAGCGUAGAUCCUUCGGGGCUAAAUGCAUUUGUGCUAAGUUAUAACAUUUUAUAGACAACUUGUUGACUAUGAUUUGUCUUGUAGCUUACUCGCUUAUGUUAUUUUACCUACGCUUAGGAUGUUGACAGCAGUAUAGACUGU